GAAGUGGAUCUACAGAAGACUGACUACAGUUUGCAUGAAGUGGAGUCUGUUCCUUCUGCUUUCCCUGUUAAGAAACAACAAUUAAUACAGUCACCAUUGUCAAAUUGUGGUAUUCUUCCUGAAGGAGAGAAGCAGACAUUUCAAUCUGAUGAUAAAAGUUAUCUCAGGAAAGAUAUUCCUGGCUCGGAGAUACAAAAGCUACAGCAGCAAAAUGCCAACCUUCGGGCUGUUAUUGCACAGAUGAGGAAAGAAAUGGAGAGCCUCGAUGAGCAAACACCAUCCUCAGUGCCUCGGAGAGAGCAAAGUGCCCCUGGCCACACUGCAGGCAUCCCACCACUCACUGCUGCUGUCCUGAUGGAAAGGGCUGAAGGUUCACUCUGCACAGACCAAGUUUCAGGGAGAACCAUGUCGAGUGAUAUGAAUGUCAGCUCAGCUAGCUUGGGUUGUGUAUUAAACCCAGGCACAGACAAGGGGUCAAAUAACAGAGCUAUGGACAAAGAGGUGAUAGAUUUUGGCUCUGUCUCAGAUAACUGUUGUCCUGAUGGUGGUCAGCAUGGUGUCAGCUGCACGCUGCAAGGAACACCAAAUAAACUGAAGGGAGCAGUGAGAACAAUGUCAGUUCUGAGCCAAGAGAAGCAGCAGCUGAUUGAAAUGGGAAACAGACUCAGGACAGAUCUUGGAAUGAUAUUAAAGGAAGGACUUGGGCAUCCUAUUAGCCCAAAGCUCUGCACAGUUUGUGUAGGCUCUGGUGGCCUUUCUCCAAGAGAACUUGUCAAAAGAACACAGUGUCAGCUUUCAGCUUUAAGACAUCUGCAACACAAGCUCAUAACACAGGAGCUGCAAUAUGCAAAGCAACAGCAUCUCUCCAGGAUCUCUUCUUUAAUUGCCUGGCCCAUCUUAAAGGGAGAAAAAGCUCCAAGCAGCUGUGGAGAAGAAACAGAACUGCUGUCUGCUGAGGUUCAGCUCAAUUCCUCAGCUGGAAAUUAUGGGCCAAAGCAACAAAAGGCGGCUGCUGCACCCUCAAAGAUUCAAAGUCAGCCACCCAAGGAGACCUUCUGCACUGACAUAAUCUGAACUUUAUUUGUGGCGCAUAUGAAAGUAUCUAUCUGAAAGCUGCAAAGUUCAUGUGUUGCCAAGGGACUGUUAGAUCAAAUUGUAAAGCUAUAAAUCCUCACUUAGUGAUUAUUUUUAUGGCAGUGUAAUGGCCAUAAUACUACUUAAUGCACUGAGACCGGAAGCCUAGAAGUGAGAUUAUGAGUGUAGCACAGUAUGUGAUGCAGGCACACUGAACUAAGGCUUGUUAUUUAUCAGUAUUUUGUAGCCCAGUGCAACAAGUUGUUCAGCCUGGAGAAGAGAAGGCACCAGGGAUACCUAAUAACAGCAUUUCAGUAUCUAAAGGGGAGCUGUAGGAAAGAAGGGGACAGAUUCUUUAGCAGGGUCUGCUGGGAUAGGACAUGGGGAAAUGGUUUCAAACUAAAAGAGGGCAGAUUUAGAUUGAAUAUAGGAAAGUUUUUUACACUGUGGGCAGUGAGGCAGUGGCACAGGUUGCCCAGAAAGCCUAUGGUGCCCCAUCCCUGCAGACAGCCAAGGUCAGGGGAUGGGCUGUGAGCACUGAUGGAGCUGUGGGUGUCCCUGCAUUGUAUUGCAGAUGAAUGUUAUGUGUCUCUCAAACUAUUGGGCUGUUCAUGAAGUAAUCUUUAACUGGAAAACCAC
rnacentral:lncRNA from 1 species